UCUUAUGGAUGAGCACACAAAGUGGUUUCUUAAGAUGCAAUCUACUCCUGGUGAAGAUGCUGAGAA
rnacentral:pre_miRNA from 1 species